rnacentral:tRNA from 1 species
UGGCUCAGUGGUUAAGAGCUUGGCUGCUAACCAAAAGGUUGGCAGUUUGAAUCUGCC